AUCAACGUUUGACCAUUCGUAUUAUUUAAAAUAUUUUUGUAAUUAUGAUUUAUUUUAUUGUGAGUUGAUUCAUCAUCAAUUGUUCUUUAAGCAUGACAUAAAUACUUCUGUAUUUGCACAAAAAUUUUGAAUAAGAUGAAUGGUCAAAUGUUGCUCAAGAA
rnacentral:pre_miRNA from 1 species